ensembl:lncRNA
UUUACAUUAAUCACUUUUCUGCAAUGCCUCUUUUUUUAGAAUAAAUCACAUAUUUGGUAAUAUAAAUUCUCAAUAUGCUUUUAUCCUCCAGUAGAUCGUACCAACUAGUAGACUGAUUAUAUAUAUAUACUGGAAGAUUAUUUAACUGAACGGCACUGAGUGGUAAAGAUUCAGCCAUUAUUUGAUCAAAUAAAUGUUUAGUUUCGUUUGGCCAUAUCAGCAAAUGACUAACGUUAAACCCCGCCCCUCUAAAGUCGUCAUUGCUGAUCACGUUCACCUGCGUUCGUUUACGCACACAACGGCGGGAAGCUGCCAGGUGGGCGCAGUGAAAAGUCAGAAGCUAGUUGGGAUAUUGGCAUAAGUACAGUUAUAUAUAACGUUUUUUGGAGGAACCAUCCAUUCUACGAAAAGAACGAUUUUACUUGGUGAGGAUUUGAGGUUACGCCAAACACAACCAUGUUUCCACUAUCCAAGUAAUUAAACGGUGUAAUUAGAUUGAUGGAUAAUCAUUACGUGAUGUGCAAAUGACCACUUCUUGGAAGCAAGGCCUACAACUGGUAGACUAACCAAGGAACUCUGAAGUAAGACGAACUCACUGCUGUACUUAAAGGUGUCUGUAUAAUAUGCGUUAACAUGUUCAUUCUCUUCUCAGGGCUAAUGUACUGCUGAGUUCAUGUUUAAUGUGUUGGCUUCCAAAUAAACCACUACUACAUCGUUUGACUCAUUAUUUUAUGGCUCCCUGGUUUUGUUAUUUGGCUCUUCGUUAAUAAAUAAAUAAACCUCUUCUUCACAUCAAACUACAUAGUUUGACUGAUUCUUUCACGGCACUCUGGAUUUGUCGCUUUGCUCUUAGAUAGGCUAAAUAGAACGUGAGGGUACGCAAUCGCAUCUAAUUGGUGCCAGGUGAUGUCAUGGUCACAAUGACCUCACCUGGCAUCAAUUUGACCCAAUCAGGAGUAUGAAUUGCUCAAUAUGUGGUAUAUUCUCAGAACUGUUGAUAUUUACGAUAUAUAUUGGCAAACCUUUAUUGACCUUUAACCUGUAUUGAAUAUUUUCAGUGUCCAUGAAUUAACUGGUUUAUUCUAAACACUGGCAUUGCCUAAUAAUUACUCUAUGUGUGUGUGUGUGUGUAUAUAGGCCUAUAUAAUAUUUACAUACAAUUAUGUACAUAUAAAUGCAUAAAUAUGUGUGUAUAUAUGUGUAUGUGUGUAUAUCUAUG